rnacentral:rRNA from 1 species
UACGUAGGGUGCGAGCGUUAAUCGGAAUUACUGGGCGUAAAGCGUGCGCAGGCGGCGCGUUAAGACAGGUGUGAAAGCCCCCGAGCUUAACUUGGGAAUUGCGCUUGUGACUGGCGUGCUGGAGUGUGGCAGAGGGAGGUGGAAUUCCACGUGUAGCAGUGAAAUGCGUAGAGAUGUGGAGGAACACCGAUGGCGAAGGCGGCCAUCUGGACCGCAACUGACGCUGAGGCGCGAAAGCGUGGGGAGCAAACAGG